rnacentral:rRNA from 1 species
AACGGGAUCGGCUGGAGCUUGCUCCGGCCGUGAGAGUGGCGAACGGGUGAGUAAUGCGUGACCGACCUGCCCCAUACACCGGAAUAGCUCCUGGAAACGGGUGGUAAUGCCGGAUGCUCCGACAUGACGCAUGUCGUGUUGGGAAAGAUUCAUCGGUAUGGGAUGGGGUCGCGUCCUAUCAGGUAGUCGGCGGGGUAACGGCCCACCGAGCCUACGACGGGUAGCCGGCCUGAGAGGGCGACCGGCCACAUUGGGACUGAGAUACGGCCCAGACUCC